ensembl:lncRNA
GGAAUUGCUGCGGCAGCAUCUCCGAGUCUCUCUCCUUUUUCUCCUCUGAGUUACAUAGGAUAACUUGGCCAGAACUUACUGAUGACUGCACGGCCAGCGGAGCCGGGAAUGGGAAAUGCAGGAAGGCGCUCUUUGGCAGGAGCAGAAGAGGAGGCAUUUCAAAGAUCCUGCAGGUGACCGAGAUCCAGGCUUGUCUGCCUCCCUCAUCCACAUACUCAUUAAAAUCAUCAGAACUAAGGGUGUGAGAAGGAUGGGGCCUCAAGUGUCCAACAGUGAAAAGAUGGUGGUGCACGUCUCAAAAGCAAGACAGGUCAGAUUUCAGACGAAGUAGGGAAAACUGCUGAAGCAACACAGGCAUCCAACACCAGUCCCACCAAGGUAGGUGUGAAACUAUCUCAUCGCUGAGAUUCCUCUCUCUCAUUGCUGAGGAUGCAGCUUCAACCGCAACACAUCCCAUCUUUGAUUAUCGAGAUUAUGGAGCUGCUUGUAUCUUUCUAUGACGGAUCUAGUGCUGACACCCUUAAAUACAGGUUUUCAGCACUACUAAGAACAGGAGCUCCCAGCAACAUCAUUUUGGACAUCCAUGCACAUGAAAAGAAUGUGGUGAAGCAGCCCUGGGGAGGGAGGAGAAUGGAGAAGACCUGCCCAGUGUUCCACCAGUUUCCCGUGCAGGUCCACAUCUCUCAUAGGAAGCUGCCACUUCAUGGCAAGGAGCUGGUCUGAGCACUGUGUCCUCCACUGGCUGAACUAGGAAAAGGUUUGCAUCCACGGGCAGCAUGGUUUGGCAUGGAAAAGCACAGAUGGGCUCAGAAACUGUCUCCAAGCUGCUCUUGACAAGGUAGGAGGCAUUCCCUUUAAGUUAACCAGGAAUGGAGGCUCACACUGCCUCUCUGGAAAUCAAGGCUUGAGGCCAAAAGCAAUCUCUGAUAUCUCAACAGAUGAAAAUAGAGCUUAAAAAAAUAAGAACGUGUCAUGGAAUUAAAUGAGAACCACAGAUUUAGCAGGUCUGGUGACUUCCCAAGAGAAGCUGAGGAGAAACGUAGAGAAAAGGCUUGUUUUUGAGACACAGUGAAAUGAAUUACUAGUCCCUUCUGUAAAAUCUGUUAAAGUCUUGACUGCUGGACGUUUACUUUCAAUGAAGUCAGCUUCCACUGCAGUCUGCUGAAGAGCCCUAACUUGACUGUGCAGAUGCAAUUACUGAAAAUGAAUCUGUCAGAGACAUAUCACGUAAACAAGGAGUCCUGUUUUGGCUCUCCUCCUGAAGCCAUCUUUGCCUCAGGGAUAACCUCAGCCAAUGCUUCACAAACCCAGUGGGAACAAGCAGCGCAGGCACAAAGCAGACUGACUAAGAAGUAAAAUUGACAGCAGGACCUUGCAGUUAGAAGCCAGGCACAGGAACACGAGGUCAAGAGAAGUCAGCUGCACGAUUCCCUUUGAUUUCUAUGAGAUGAGAGUUACAGCUGGAAUUCUGGAUUCGGUUUCCACCUCUUCUCCAUACCUUCACUGUGCUUUCAGCAAGUGCAGCCAGGUACCCAGCUGCCUAAAUUCCAUAGCCUGAAAAUUUUGCUCAAGGGACUGCUGUUCACCAGGUCUGCAGCAUAUGCUUCCUUCAGCCCUUGUUCUGCACAGCAAAAGCAAACGGGAUCCCACUGAACGCCUUCCUGCCACCUCUAACUGAAACGCUCUGCAUACUUUUGCUCCCCAAAGUUUGUAUGGCUCAAAUAAAAUUGCUUACUUGAAAGUUAAGGUUUGUCAAUGAUUUCUGACUUUUUUUUUAAAGAAGGUAGUGGUGUUUGUUUCUUUUCCUUCUCCAUGAUCAUUCAAGUGUUGGUAAGGGGCAAACUUUGAGCACAAGUUUUAUAUUUCUCAGGAAAUGAAUGUAUUUCCCUUGCUUUUCUAAAAUAUCAUACUUUCAACUUUGAGUUAUUUAUCCAAAUAUUUCUAUUCCCCGCUGUAUUCUGAACGUUUGAUCUAUGUGAGGCAAUGCUCUGUUUAACCUUGCUUGUACUGAAAGCAAUAAAAUAUAAAAUGAAUAGGUGGAAAGGGAUAGUAAAUCCCCACUGAGAAAUUAUCUGGCAGUUUCUGAGUCAUGGGAAGAUAUCAACAAAGUGAAAUUUAUUUAAUAUUGAUGAAUGGGACAGUAAUGCACCUAGGGAGAAAUAACAGCAAUCAACACAGAUAUUUAGGAGACAUUAAUAUAGAAAAAGACCUUGGGGUUGAAGCGGAUAAUUAAGUGCAUAAGAGCUCACAUUGCAAAACAAGCAAUCGGUGUUCCAGAGCGUGCAGCGUCAAAAGAGAUGUGCCGUGCAGCAAAGUGAGGGAUAAGUGCGGCACAACUUAGCCUGAGUAAGACUGGAGCUGGGGUGGGGUAUGAAUUUUUCAGCCUCCUCUUUUUAAGAAGACACGGGAAAGUGGCAGAGAAGUAAAAGACGGGUAGUAGAAAUGACAAAGAGAGCUGCGGGCAUUGCGUGUGAAGGCGCGGCGGAAAGUAAUUCAUUCAGCAGGAGGGAGCAGCGCCAGCCCUCCUGUCUGUGUGCCGCACGAAUGGACUUUCCCUGCAGCAGCAAUGGUAAAAGGGUCUCAAAUUAAAAAUGGAACAACUCCAUUUAGAUACAAGAGAAAUGACUUAAUACUAAGGGCUGUUACAUGGGCAAUGGAGUAAGCUGUCUGGUGAGCAGCUGAACACAAGGCACCGUCAAUAGAAGGUUUCUGGGGUGAGACUGGAAAAAGUGCCGGUGGGAUUACUGCAGAAGAGGCUUCUCAGCAUGAGCAUGGCUAACACAAAGGUCCUUUGCUGUCAUUUUCAUCGACACUUCUGGGAUCUCAAAGGCUGUGCACAAUAAAAGAGACAAUAUGUCCAGAUUUUAAUGAAAUCCAUCUGCCACGCUCGGUGAGACUACAUGGUGACUGGGACGAGAGGUGCAGCCCUGCAAGCCUCACCUCUGUAUCCCAUCUGCUCUACAG